ensembl:lncRNA
GGCCUUAGGAGCAAGACCCAACAGGAAUGAAGACCACACAUCUCAGGAAUCAUAAAAAAUCUCUUUUCACCCAAAUCCACCCAGUGCUGACUAGCCGGAAACCAAGUUGGGGGCCUAGAAGUGGCACCAUAACAUCUGGCUGGAAGCCCAGUCAGACCAAGACCCUAAGGCCUGGGAGUCAUAAGCAACUUGCCAAGGUCACAGGACUGGUGCAGAAUGAGUUGGGGCUGCUGUUUGGAAAGCUCUGUGGCACUGUGGGCUAAGAUAAUCCUGCUGUUCCUUAACCUUCCACCUGGUUAUUCAACUGCCAGGAGUUUGUCUAAGUGCUGAACUAAGAGAUAUAUUAGCAAACAAUUAUCAGGACCAAAAUAGGCAAUAUUAGGAGACAGAGUGAAUGGAUGACGAUAAUUGCACACAUGAAAAAUGAAUGUGAACAAAACAAAAAUGUUAGUGAUGAUAGCAAACACAAAAGAGGGUGUGUGGUUGCAACUAUGUAAAGACUUGCAUAUAGGUGGAAGGUUUCAUGUUUGAAAAGUUGCAUUUUGUAGUAGUAUUAUGGAUACUACUUCGUUCUUUUUGCUUUUCUUCCUGGUUGUCAUAUUGUCUCUUCAGUGGCAUUAAAAAAAAAAAAAUCUAGAUUCAAAUCUAGCCAGUGGUGUGACUUUGAGCAACAUUGUCUGUGAAGUAGGGUAAUAUUUCCCAGCGCAGUGGCUGAG